UAAUGUAGGGCGUGCGAUACCGCAUCGCGAGGGUCGGCCGAUAAGACGACUCUCUUUAAGGAGACGUCGCCCUGCGGGAGAAGAAGAAGAAGAGGAGGGAGUACCAGCGAGAAGAGCACGAAUCGAAGGGGAGGAUAAUGUUCCGGCUCCACAUGACGUCCCCGUCAUUGUAAUCGAUGAUGACGGUGACGAUAACACUCAUGGGGAUGACACCGUGAGUCCAGCCGAUUCCAGAGCACUGCUCUCUCCCCCGGCUUCCACAAUUAUCA